GAACUGUAGAGUUUGAUCCUGGCUCAGAUUGAACGCUGGCGGAAUGCUUUACACAUGCAAGUCGAACGGCAGCACGGGGGCAACCCUGGUGGCGAGUGGCGAACGGGUGAGUAAUACAUCGGAACGUGCCCAAUCGUGGGGGAUAACGUAGCGAAAGCUACGCUAAUACCGCAUACGAUCUACGGAUGAAAGCGGGGGAUCGCAAGACCUCGCGCGAAUGGAGCGGCCGAUGGCAGAUUAGGUAGUUGGUGGGGUAAAGGCUCACCAAGCCGACGAUCUGUAGCUGGUCUGAGAGGACGACCAGCCACACUGGGACUGAGACACGGCCCAGACUCCUACGGGAGG
rnacentral:rRNA from 1 species